rnacentral:rRNA from 1 species
AACGAACGCUGGCGGCAUGCCUAACACAUGCAAGUCGAACGAGACCUUCGGGUCUAGUGGCGCACGGGUGCGUAACGCGUGGGAACCUGCCCUUAGGUUCGGAAUAACUCACCGAAAGGGGUGCUAAUACCGGAUAAUGUCAUCGGACCAAAGAUUUCUCGCCUUUGGAUGGGCCCUCGUUGGAUUAGCUAGUUGGUAGGGUAAAAGCCUACCAAGGCGACGAUCCAUAGCUGGUCGGGGAGGAUGAUCAGCCACACUGGGGCUGAGACACGGCCCAGACUCCGACGGAAGGCAGCAGUGGGGAAUAUUGGACGAGGGGCGAAGGCCUGAUCCAGCAGUGCCGCGUGAGUGAUGAAGGCCUUAGGGUUGUAAAGCUCUUUUACCCGGGAUGAUAAUGACAGUACCGGGUGAAUAAGCUCCGGCUAACUCCGUG